UUGUCAGGUAGGCUAAUCCUUACCUGUUCCUCCCUUUGGAGGGCAGAUUGGAAUACGAUGAUUGGAGUUUGCAUGAUUCCUGAUUGUCUCUGCAUAAUCAGGACUUUCAACAUCCUGAUUGCUCCCAUCUGAU
ensembl:snoRNA U8 U8 small nucleolar RNA